AGGUCAAUUAAAUAAACACCGCAGACAGUUGGUGCGAAAGCUUAAUAUCCAGCCGAGGUUAACUUAUUAGUAUUAUGUAAUGCUGAUGAUAGGUUUCUUCGUACUGCGAAGAGACCUUUUUAUUUAACAAC
rfam:Clostridiales bacterium 38_11 MPI_scaffold_749, whole genome shotgun sequence.